CGUAGGGCGGCGCGCGGCGACCUAGGCGUGCGGAGCCGAUCGCCGAACUCGCCGAGCAGGCUUUGUGUGCCCACAGUCAGUGGGUGCCCGCGCGGCGGGAGGAGUUGGCGCCCCGCUGGACUGAACCGCCUGGCGCCCCUCCCCCGGCCCCGCGGGGCGCUCACAACCGUGGCCUUCACUCAGUCAAGGCGACUUCUACUCGAGUGUCUUGCUGCCUUCCGCUCCAUCCCAAUCCACGAGCGUGUGCUCGGCGCUCGCCGUGCUUGGCAGCAGCUGGGCGUCAGGGCAAGGAGUGGGCACAGUGCCGCUGCUCGCAGAGGUCUGCCCUGGACCUCCACGUGUUUACAGUCUGUGGGGGGCCCAGGAAACAUCGGGAAUUUGCGCCCCACGGCGGUCUUUGUUGGGGAGGAAUGGCUUAAGUUUGGUUGCCAGGAGGUAGCAGGGGGGUUGUGGCACGAAGUGGCCACGUUCCAGGUGCAUUAGGUAGAUCUCAAUUCUAUAUGCUACUUACUGGCAAAAGACAACUGGACUCUACGACUAGCUAAGGCAUAUGUAGUUUCUCUGCAAAGAAGUGCGGGAUGUAGCCAAAAGGCCCAGGUCCACAUCGUACCCUGCUUGCGGUUCCCCAGUUCUGAGAACUUGGAUGACUCCCUGAAUUUUGCUCUUAGUCUCAGUUUCCGCAGGAAGAUGGGAUAACAUCACUGCCCUGCCAACAUCAGAGG